UACGAAGGGGGCUAGCGUUGCUCGGAAUGACUGGGCGUAAAGGGCGCGUAGGCGGCUGUGACAGUCAGAUGUGAAAUUCCUGGGCUCAACCUGGGGGCUGCAUUUGAUACGUGAUGGCUGGAGUGGGGAAGAGGGUCGUGGAAUUCCCAGUGUAGAGGUGAAAUUCGUAGAUAUUGGGAAGAACACCGGUGGCGAAAGCGGCUCACUGGAUCUCUUCUGACGCUGAGGCACGAAAGCUAGGGUAGCGAACGGG
rnacentral:rRNA from 1 species